GGCCCCGCACAAGCGGUGGAGCAUGUGGUUUAAUUCGAUGCAACGCGAAGAACCUUACCAGGACUUGACAUACUACAGAUUUUUUUGAGAAAGAAAAGUGCCUUCGGGAAUGUAGAUACAGGUGGUGCAUGGCUGUCGUCAGCUCGUGUCGUGAGAUGUUGGGUUAAGUCCCGCAACGAGCGCAACCCUUAUUUUUAGUUACUAAUUCGUUAGGUUCUCUAGAAAGACUGCCGGUGACAAACCGGAGGAAGGUGAGGAUGACGUCAAGUCAGCAUGCCCCUUAUGUCCUGGGCUACACACGUGCUACAAUGGUUAAGACAAAGAGUCGCGAGCUUGUGAAAGUCAGCUAAUCUCAUAAACUUAGCCUAAGUUCAGAUUGUAGGCUGCAACUCGCCUACAUGAAGUUGGAAUCGCUAGUAAUCG
rnacentral:rRNA from 1 species